UGGAAGGGGUGUAUUUAUUAGAUUAAAAACCAAUGCCCUUCGGGGCUCUCUGGUGAUUCAUAAUAACUUCUCGAAUCGCACGGCCUUGCGCCGGCGAUGGUUCAUUCAAAUUUCUGCCCUAUCAACUUUCGACGGCUGGGUCUUGGCCAGCCAUGGUGACAACGGGUAACGGAGGGUUAGGGCUCGACCCCGGAGAAGGAGCCUGAGAAACGGCUACUACAUCCAAGGAAGGCAGCAGGCGCGCAAAUUACCCAAUCCCGACACGGGUAGGUAGUGACAAUAAAUACUGAUACAGGGCUCUUUCGGGUCUUGUAAUUGGAAUGAGUACAAUUUAAAUCCCUUAACGAGGAACAAUUGGAGGGCAAGUCUGGUGCCAGCAGCCGCGGUAACUCCAGCUCCAAUAGCGUAUAUUAAUGUUGUUGAGGUUAAAAAGCUCGUAGUUGAACCUUGGGCCUAGCCGGCCGGUCCGCCUCACCGCGUGCACUGGCUCGGCUGGGACUUUCCUUCUGGAGAACCGCAUGCCCUUCACUGCGUGUGCCGGGGAACCAGGACUUUUAC
rnacentral:rRNA from 1 species